UACGUAGGGGGCAAGCGUUGUCCGGAAUCAUUGGGCGUAAAGCGCGUGUAGGCGGUCCGGUAAGUCCGCUGUGAAAGUCGGGGGCUCAACCCUCGGAUGCCGGUGGAUACUGUCGGGCUUGAGUACGGAAGAGGCGAGUGGAAUUCCCGGUGUAGCGGUGAAAUGCGCAGAUAUCGGGAGGAACACCAAUUGCGAAGGCAGCUCGCUGGGACGUCACUGACGCUGAGACGCGAAAGCGUGGGGAGCAAACAGG
rnacentral:rRNA from 1 species